rfam:Heligmosomoides polygyrus genome assembly, scaffold: HPBE_scaffold0005484
GCGCCGGUGGUGUAAGGCGAUCAUUGCUGCCCGGAAACCAGAAGAUGCGGGUUCGAGUCCCGCCUGGUGCA